GAUGAACGCUGGCGGCGUGCCUAAUACAUGCAAGUCGAGCGAACAGACGAGGAGCUUGCUCCUCUGACGUUAGCGGCGGACGGGUGAGUAACACGUGGAUAACCUACCUAUAAGACUGGAUAACUUCGGGAAACCGGAGCUAAUACCGGAUAAUAUAUUGAACCGCAUGGUUCAAUAGUGAAAGACGGUUUUGCUGUCACUUAUAGAUGGAUCCGCGCCGCAUUAGCUAGUUGGUAAGGUAACGGCUUACAAAGGCAACGAUGCGUAGCCGACCUGAGAGGGUGAUCGGCCACACUGGAACUGAGACACGGUCCAGACUCCUACGGGAGGCAGCAGUAGGGAAUCUUCCGCAAUGGGCGAAAGCCUGACGGAGCAACGCCGCGUGAGUGAUGAAGGUCUUCGGAUCGUAAAACUCUGUUAUUAGGGAAGAACAAAUGUGUAAGUAACUAUGCACGUCUUGACGGUACCUAAUCAGAAAGCCACGGCUAACUACGUGCCAGCAGCCGCCGUAA
rnacentral:rRNA from 1 species